rnacentral:rRNA from 1 species
AUUGAACGCUGGCGGCAGGCUUAACACAUGCAAGUCGAGCGGGGGAAGGUAGCUUGCUACCGGACCUAGCGGCGGACGGGUGAGUAAUGCUUAGGAAUCUGCCUAUUAGUGGGGGACAACAUCUCGAAAGGGAUGCUAAUACCGCAUACGUCCUACGGGAGAAAGCAGGGGAUCUUCGGACCUUGCGCUAAUAGAUGAGCCUAAGUCGGAUUAGCUAGUUGGUGGGGUAAAGGCCUACCAAGGCGACGAUCUGUAGCGGGUCUGAGAGGAUGAUCCGCCACACUAGGACUGAGACACGGCCCAGACUCCUACGGGAGGCAGCAGUGGGGAAUAUUGGCCAAUGGGGGGAACCCUGAUCCAGCCAUGCCGCGUGUGUGAAGAAGGCCUUAUGGUUGUAAAGCACUUUAAGCGAGGAGGAGGCUACUCUAGUUAAUACCUAGGGAUAGUGGACGUUACUCGCAGAAUAAGCACCGGCUAACUCUGUGCCAGCCGCCGCAGUAA